ensembl:lncRNA
CUGGCGUGUGGGAUGGAGGGAUGCAUUAGCAGGGACCAUCCUAGUGCUGGAGGGAAGGGAGAAUCAUCCUAAUGCUGGAGAGAAGGGGUGUGUGGCACAGUGCCUGGCCUGGGAGGGUAGACACAAGCUGAGGGGAAGAAGGAACAGACAUUUGACCUCUUAGAAGGCUGGACAAAUGUCUUGAGCUUGGAAACACCAUGAGGGGUUGUGGUGUCACAGAAGACCAGUUUAUCCCAGUUUGCUAAGGACCUGAGGACAUAAGAGACAUAUGCUUGUCAAAAGAGGCUUUCUGCAUGAGUUUCAGUGGUGAAAUUCUCCUAUAUACCUGGAGUGGUGUCAUUUCACCCAGUUUUGACAAGCAUGUACCCAGCGUGAAGUUUUUGUGCAACACUGGAGAGUUACUGGUUGAUCACCAGAAGUAUAUGGACUGCAUUUGUUCCCCAAAUUAAAUUUGAUUAAGAAUUUAAAUGGUGUAUGGUCACAUGAAACAUGCUGAAUCUCAUAGAAGGGAAAGGAAAGGAAGUAAUAUGAGGUUCCUACCAAGAUAUGGAGCAUUAAAAAAGAUAGGAGGAAAGGACUAAGGAGAAUAUUAGUGACGUUUCUUCAAACAAAGAUGUGGACGAUAACAAAAGGACUUUGUACUAUAACUGUGACUCAACACUGUCAUAAAACAAGCAAAGAAGAAGAAAAGGAAGGGGAAGAUAUGUGUCUCAGGAAAUAAAAGCAGAUUCAAAAGGCAAGGAAGGACACAUUACAGAAGUGCAUGUUAAUAGUUAAAAGUUGGAUACAUUUGUUUAAUAAUAACCAUGAGAACUAGAAGACCGGCUCUAUUAAUACAGUGAUUUUGUUGUGGCAUUCCUUGGACUACCCAAGAGGCCUAGAAAUAUAUGGCAAAUUGUCUGUUCAACUAUAUCAAAUAAUAAAGCACAUUGAAUUCA